rnacentral:rRNA from 1 species
AGUGAACGCUGGCGGUAGGCCUAACACAUGCAAGUCGAACGGCAGCACAGUAAGAGCUUGCUCUUACGGGUGGCGAGUGGCGGACGGGUGAGGAAUACAUCGGAAUCUACUUUUUCGUGGGGGAUAACGUAGGGAAACUUACGCUAAUACCGCAUACGACCUACGGGUGAAAGCAGGGGAUCUUCGGACCUUGCGCGAUUGAAUGAGCCGAUGUGGGAUUAGCUAGUUGGCGGGGUAAAGGCCCACCAAGGCGACGAUCCGUAGCUGGUCUGAGAGGAUGGUCAGCCACACUGGAACUGAGACACGGUCCAGACUCCUACGGGAGGCAGCAGUGGGGAAUAUUGGGCAAUGGGCGGAAGCCUGAUCCAGCCAGACCGCGUGGGUGGAGAAGGCGUUCGGGUUGUGAAGCCCUUUUGUUGGGAGAGAAAAGCAGCAGGUUAAUACCCCGCUGUUCUGACGGUACCCGAAAAAUAAGCACCGGCUAACUACGUG